UACGGAGGGAGCUAGCGUUGUUCGGAAUUACUGGGCGUAAAGCGCGCGUAGGCGGCUUUGUAAGUUAGAGGUGAAAGCCCGGGGCUCAACCCCGGAAUUGCCUUUAAGACUGCAUCGCUUGAAUCCGGGAGAGGUGAGUGGAAUUCCGAGUGUAGAGGUGAAAUUCGUAGAUAUUCGGAAGAACACCAGUGGCGAAGGCGGCUCACUGGACCGGCAUUGACGCUGAGGUGCGAAAGUGUGGGGAGCAAACGGG
rnacentral:rRNA from 1 species